rnacentral:lncRNA from 1 species
CACAUGUGAACUAUAUUUGUGAAUCAUUAUUAUUAUCAAUUCCGUUUCACCAUUCACUCAAUAACUAAUCAUAAUAAACCAUUUACAUUUCACUAAGCACGGGUAGUGGGAACUUACUUUUCUUCUUGUCCCCAUUCCAAGCAAAAUUUUGCCAUCUCCAAAAGGGAAUCACGAGGAACAGGCCUUAGGGGGUCAGCAAUGGUGUCCUAUGAAAUGUUAGGAAUCUCCCGACCUGUCCAUGGAGUUUCCCUCACCACUGCCCUUCGCCUCUUCAUUGCAGGGCCAAGAAUCUCACUCUUUCCCCGACCCCUCUUUUGUCGAACCUUAACUAUAACAUCUUCGCCACAUUCACCCUCAAUAGUGGACAUGUCAAUCUUUCGAGGAGGAUUCGUAAGAAAUUUAACAAGGGUGACACACACCACACCCGUAUCAUCCCAAUUUAUAUCCGGGGGUGUAUACUGCAUCUCUUCUUUAGCAUUUUGUACACACUGCUCUCUCGAUUCGGCUACUCCACCAUCCUCAGUUU